CUCGAAAGAGAGCCGUAACACAGGUGCUGCAUGGCUGUCGUCAGCUCGUGUCGUGAGAUGUUGGGUUAAGUCCCGCAACGAGCGCAACCCUUGUCAUUAGUUGCUACGAAAGGGCACUCUAAUGAGACUGCCGGUGACAAACCGGAGGAAGGUGGGGAUGACGUCAAGUCCUCAUGGCCCUUAUGGGUAGGGCUACACACGUCAUACAAUGGCUGGUACAAAGGGCAGCCAACCCGCGAGGGGGAGCCAAUCCCGUAAAGCCGGUCGUAGUCCGGAUCGCAGUCUGCAACUCGACUGCGUGAAGUCGGAAUCGCUAGUAAUCGUGGAUCAGCAUGUCACGGUGAAUACGUUCCCGGGUCUU
rnacentral:rRNA from 1 species